rnacentral:rRNA from 1 species
AAUGCCGCGUGUGUGAAGAAGGCCUGCGGGUUGUAAAGCACUUUCAAUUGGGAGGAAAGCUGAUGGUUAAUACCCAUUAGUCUUGACGUUACCUUUAGAAGAAGCACCGGCUAACUCCGUGCCAGCCACGGCGGUGACUGAGCGGGCUGGCAAGGCGCAUA